ACACCCUCAAGCCCUGCUUGGUGUUGGGUGCCUGUCCCGCCCCGCGCGGCGACUCACCCCAAAUGCAUUGGCGGCGGCGCCUUGCCCCUCCCGCGCAGCACAUUGCGCUUCUCGAGGCGGCGGGACCGCGUCCACGAAGCCGACAACCCGU
rnacentral:misc_RNA from 2 species